rnacentral:SRP_RNA from 1 species
GCCGGGUGCAGUGGUGUGUGCCUGUAGUUCCAGCUACUUGGGAGGCUGAGGUGGGAGGAUCGCUUGAGCCCAGGAGUUCUGGACUAUAGUGCGCUAUGCCGAUCAGGUGUCCACACUAAGUUCGGCAUCAAUAUGGUGACUUCCCGGGAGUGGGGGACCACCAGGUGGCCUAAGGAGGGGUGAACCGGCCCAGGUUGGAAAUGGAGCAGAUCAAAACUCCUGUGCUGAUCAGUAGUAGGAUCGCGCCUUUGAAUAGCCACUGCACUCCAGCCUGGGCAACAUAGCGAGACCCCGUCUCA